UCUGGCUCAGGAUGAACGCUAGCGGCAGGCUAACACAUGCAAGUCGAGGGGCAGCGGGAUGUAGCAAUACAUUGCCGGCGACCGGCGGAUGGGUGCGUAACGCGUAUGCAACCUACCUUAUACAGGGGAAUAACCUUUCGAAAGGGAGACUAACACCCCAUAGUAUUGAUUUAAGGCAUCUUAGAUUAAUUAAAUAUUUAUAGGUAUAAGAUGGGCAUGCGUAUGAUUAGCUAGUUGGUAAGGUAACGGCUUACCAAGGCGACGAUCAUUAGGGGUUCUGAGAGGAAGGUCCCCCACACUGGUACUGAGACACGGACCAGACUCCUACGGGAGGCAGCAGUGAGGAAUAUUGGUCAAUGGGCGCAAGCCUGAACCAGCCAUGCCGCGUGCAAGGAAGACGGCCUUAUGGGUUGUAAACUGCUUUUACAUAAGACUAACCGUAUAUUUGCGAAUAUACCUGAAUGUAUUAUGAGAAUAAGGAUCGGCUAACUCCGUGCCAGCCGCCGC
rnacentral:rRNA from 1 species